rnacentral:tRNA from 1 species
GGAGAGGUCGCAUAGCGGUCUAGUGCACCUGCUUGGAGAGCAGGAGUACCCUUUGGGUGCCCAGGGUUCGAAUCCCUGCCUCUCCGCCA